rnacentral:tRNA from 1 species
GGCUACCUAGCGCAAUGGUAGCGCGUUUGGCUUCGAUGCUGAAUGGCACCAAAAGGUUGCAGGUUCGAGUCCUGCGGUGGUCA